rnacentral:rRNA from 1 species
CAAAAACAUGUCCUUUUGUUUGUUUAUUUAAGGUCUGACCUGCCCAAUGAGGAAUUGAAUGGCCGCAGUAUUCUAACUGUGCUAAGGUAGCAUAAUCAUUUGUCUUUUAAUUGAGGGCUGGAAUGAAGGGUUGGACGAGGUAUUGACUUUCUUUAAUUUAAUUUUAAGAAUUUAAUUUUUGAGUUAAAAAGCUUAAAUUUAUUUAUGGGACGAGAAGACCCUAUAGAUCUUUAUAGUUUUAUAUUUUGGUAAUUUAGGGAUUUAUUUACUUUAAGUAGGUUAACUAUUUUGUUGGGGUGACUGUAGAAUUUGAAUAACUUCUAUUUUUUAUUUUCAUUAAUUAGUGUUUUUUUGAUCCAUAGUUUAUGAUUAUAAGAUUAAGUUACCUUAGGGAUAACAGCGUAAUUUCCUCGGAGAGUUCAUAUUGAUGAGGGAGUUUGCGACCUCGAUGUUGGAUUAAAAUAAGUCAUGGAUGCAGGAGUCUAUUUACUAGGUCUGUUCGACCUUUAAAUUUUUACAUGAUCUGAGUUCAAAACCGGGAGA